CUCUUUUUUGGUUACAUAUGAACUUAAAGUAGUUUUUUCCAAUUCUGUGAAGAAAGUCAUUGGUAGCGACAAUAAUAUCUUUUCUUUAGAUUAUCUGGAUUAUGAAAGCAAGCACUUUUUUCAUUAAAACAAUUAUGUACUAGGAAAAACUGUCAUAAUGGUAUUAAUGUUGGCAAUAUUGAUUAUGAAAUUCAGGGAUAAAUUGCUGCCUAUGGUCUGUGUCUUCAGUAUUGUAAGCCGCAGCCAUCAUGUAAUUUCAGAUUAAUACCAAUUUUGUUCCCUGAUAGAUGGAGCUUAAACAGUAUAUCCUGCUUUAAAUUUCUACCUCUAGCAGAUCUGUAUUGGAGGGAGUUUUCCUUUGUAUUUUUUAAUGUAUGUUAUUCUGUUUCCAGUAGCUUGGAAAGUAGAGAUGACUAAUGUUUUAGCCUUUUCUUGGAGAAAAGGAAGAACUCUUGUUGAAUAUUUUCACAGAUGAUUGUGAUUGCUUUAAAUAACCUCUGUGGCAAUUUAAAUUAGACGGAUUUAAUCUCAGUAACAUGCUGGUCGCAUAAAUGUCAUGUUUUAACAGGAAAACUUACUUGUAAAUCUUUAGACCUUUGUUGUCACUUAGGCUGGGGACUCACUACCCUAUUUGGCAUCUUACUAGUUGGGGGGACCUUUUCUGUGUACAGUGAUGGGACUUUUGUGCCCUUUACUCUCAUUAUGCAAUAGAGAGUUUGAUGCAGUUAAUUUGACAUGUCAAAACUGGGAAGUCUGUAACCUGUUUUUGUGUUUGUUUUUAUUUUUUUAAGAUUUCUCUUUUUCAUGUCCCUCAUUACUUAGCAGAUGUUCAUUUGGUGGGAAUUCUUAUUUACAUGAAUGCUUGAAUUUAGUGGCAAGGAAGAAAAGACUCAAAUUAUUGUUUUUAAAGAAAAAAACUUGCAAACUACGUAUUUUUAAGAAAUCAAUUGAACAGAAAGGAAUGCAUGAUGUUUUCUGAAUGGCUUAGAUGUGCUUUUUAUUCACUGACUAACAUUCACUUUUUUACAACUUGUAUCAAAAGAAAUGAUCUUUGUUUUUCUCACAGGCAAAAACACGUUGACACUGGUGGGUUGGCUUUAUUAAUUAAUCUUUUUCUAUCAGGUUUUCUUUAAUAAUGUUACAUUUCUAAAUUGUAGCACAUGUUUUAGUUAAUUCUGAAAUCGGUUACUUCAUUUGUUAAUUUAUCCCUCAUAUCAUGAAUAUUGUUUUUUAAAUGUUCUAUACAAAUUUGCCUCACUUUUUUUCUUACAGCUUUUGCAGUUAAUACAUUCUAAACUUGAAAAUGUGGUUAUCAGUCAGUAAUAGAAGUAUCCCUGGAGGAUUUCUUUAAUUUUGUAUUAAUUUUAGUCCUAGCUACUAAAGUAUGUAAGCCUUAAAGUUUAAAAUGUUUUUCUUAAAUUAGCUGUAUACACAAACAUUUUCAUAUACUUUGUGAAAUGGGAGGAGAUAGUCCAUUGUUCUUGUGGGUUUUUUUCUUUAAUUUCCGUAUUCUGAAGCAGUGCAGAUACAGGGUACGCUAAUCAGUGAGCAAGGUGGGGAAUGUGUACAAUAUAAGGAGAAGCUGUAUGAAUCUCAAUAUAAAAUUAUGAAGUUUGUUAACUGUAAAAUAUACUGUAUUUAUAUGUAACUGUCAUUCUAAAAGUUGCCAUAAAAGCUGAAUUGGAAGCUUCAUGUCUGCAUGAAAUUUCCUAUAUUUUUAAUGUGUAUGAUGAAAUUAAUUUUUCUUGAAUAUUAAAAUCUGCCAAUCGCUACAAAAAGAAUACUGAAAAUCUCAUUUCUAGUUUUAAUAUAUUUUUGCAGGAUAUUUACAUGGAUUUAAUAUUGAAAGCAUUUAUGUCUUGUCAAUAUCGCAUAAGAGACAGUUACUUAGAUGCAAUAAAAACUUUAUGUACGUGUACAUAAAAACAUAUACUUUCCUGCAUCUUUGUUAGUGAAUAAGAUUUUUAGAAGGGAUUUUAAUUAAGGUUUAAAUAAGAGCUGGGGACAUGUGGAAUGAGAAAUAGAAGGCUCAUCAAAGUAUAUGUGCGUAUGUAUUCUUAUAUUUGUGUGUGUCUACAGUAAUGCUAUCUGGAAACUAGUGCAAUGAAAAACAAAACACAGCAGGAGUGAACUGAGGCAAAUGUGGCUCAGAAAGGUCUCUUUUGACCUUUAAACCUGACAUUUCUUUGUGGAUAUCACACUGACUCAUCCAAUGUCACACGUUGAACCCAGCGAUGUCUUUUCUUCCUAUUGAAAACUAGCCUUCUCAUCCUGUUUUCUUUAAUCUAUCACACAAGCUGAAUUCUAUCCACCCUCACUGCCAUAGCGCUUACAGAUAUCACUGAUAUCAUCUCUCCUUUCUGUUCACAUUUUUACAGUCUCAUUAUUUAUGUUGCUAAGCAUUUUCUUACAACUGUUCGAAGCCUACAGGUUAAGAUGUGGGUGGAGAUAUACACUAAAGACUUACUUAUUAGAUCUAUAAUGCCAGGGAUGAGUUCAAUAUAACAAACCAGUGGAAUGAUUCUGCUUCUCUUCUGACUCACUCCUUAAAAUGUGUAUUGAACAAAGGUGAAGUAGAAAAGUUGUAUUAGCAUUGUUUUAUUUUGCAUGACUUAAAAUGUGCUUUUCUAAUUGAUAAUUUAUCUAGUGCUGCCUCAGACUUGAUAAUUGGGUUCAUCAACAGAGCCUUGAAAAGUUUGGGUAGAGACCACAAAAAUGUAGUAGCUAUGCAUGAAGAUUAGCUGAUAGUUUAUCCGUUAAGACUGCUUAUGGAUGUAAGCAAUGAAAAUCUAACUAACAGUAGCUAAGAGAAAUAGAGAUUUAUGUUUUCAUGUAGCAUAGAGUCUGGAGGUUGGCAGCCGACAACUCUGUGAUGCCAUCAGCAACCCUACUUUUCUCCAUUUCUUAAAAUGGAAGAUUCUUAGAGUGUUGCUUUUACCGUGUUGUUUUUCUCAUCAUGCCUCCAUCUGCCAUCAUAUCUCAUCUGCCAUCCAGAUAGGAACAAGGGAAAAGGACUAAGGAGGAAAAAGGCAAGGAGAUAUGUCAGCUGAUUGUCCUUUUCUGUCAGGUUAGCAGUGUCUUCCCCAAAGGCCCCAUCUAGCAGAUUUCUGACUAUGUCUCUAUGGCCAGAACACACCGUGGCACACAUUCAUUCUAAACUGGAAGAUGGUUAGGAAAAAGGAAGGUGUGGGGGUGUGAAACCACCUGCCAAAAGUGUCACAGUUGUGACCAGUUUAUUUCACAGUUUGAGAUGACAUGGUCAUAAAGACCUUUGUCACCUUCAGAAUGCAGCAAAGCAUGAGAGAGUAUUAGAAGGCCGCUGAGAAAGACAAACAAGUUUUAGGAUUACAGAAGUAUUCAACAACCAACCAUUGAAGGUGCAAGAACUGGGCCAUCCCAUGGGUCCACCAGGGCUUUGACAAGGCAGGUGCUGGGGCAGAGCACUCUGGCCAGGAAGCAAAAGAUGAAGGUUCCCAUCUUGGCCCCAGCCUGGAUCUGUGCCCAGUGAUAGUCAUCAGCCUGGAUCUGUGCCCAUUGCAUUGUGUGGACAUACCACGCCAUGUUUCUCCAUCACCUUUUGAGGAAACUUCUGUUGUUUCCACCUUCUAACCGUCAUCAGUAAAGCUGCUGUGAACCUUCGCAUCCAGGUCUCCUGGUGAAAUGAAUGCACACAUCUCUCUUGGGUAUUAUGUGAGUGUCCCGUAGCUGCUGUAAUAAACUAUCACAAAUGCAGUAGCUUAAAACAACAUAGAUUUAGUCUUGUACAGAUCCGGAGGACAGCAGUUGGAAAGGAGACUCAUGAACACCUCAUGUCAAGUUAUCAGCAGCACGGGGCCCUGCUGGAGGCUGCGGGGGUGAGUCCAUUUCCUUGCCUGCUCCAGUUCCCAGAGGCACCCACAUUCCUUGGCUUUUGGCCCCUUCCAGAUGCAAGGACAUCUCUCCGACCUCUGCUCCCGUGGCCACAUCCCCUCCGCUGACUCUGAGCCUCCUGCCUUUCUCACUUAGGACCCUGUGAUGGCAGCAGGCCUAGCCAGUUAAUCCAGCCUCAUCUCCCUCUCCCAAAACCCUCAACUCUAUCGUGUCAGCAGAGUCUCUUUCUCCGUAUUGAGGUAGCGUUCCUUGGGAUGGCCAUCUUGCCCCGAAUAGGUUCCUUGAUGUCCCUGUACUGUUUGCAGGGACACAUUUACAAGUAGGAUUAAUAGCAUCUCCUCCUUUCAGGUCCCUGUGAGAAUCCCUUAGAAAAAUUUAUGAAGGUGGCCGGGCACAGUGGCUCAUGUCUGUAAUCCCAGCACUUUGAGAGGCCGAGGCGGGUGGAUCACCUGAGGUCAGGAGUUUGAGACCAGCCUGACCAACAGGGUGAAACUGUCUCUACUAAAAAUAAAAAAACUAGCUGGGCAUGGUGUUGGGUGCCUGUAAUCCCUACUACUUGGGAGGCUGAGGCAGGAGAAUCGCUUGAACUCGGGUGGCAGAGAUUGCAGUGAGCCAAGAUCGUGCCAUUGCCUGGGCGACAGAGACUCCAUCUCAAAAAAAAAAAAAAAAUACGUGAAGGCUCCCAGCCCCAUACCCCACGUGCAUACAGUCAGCGCCAACUAUCAGAAGCCGCUGCCGCUGCUGGGGAACACAUUGUCUCCAGUUCACCUGGAAUGAGGCGUGUUGUGCCUCAUGACUCCUCUGCUUUUGUCUGCAGGAAGGGUUAUUGUCACAGAGGGUCUGCAUUCUGGAAGCUUUCAUUGUUAUUCAAAUUGCCAGGUGCUCUGUUACCUUCCCACUUAGGUUGCAGGUACCAGCCCACCAGGCCUGCCAGCUGCAGACCCUCCUCACCCCGUGGGCCCUGCUUCCGAUUCCAGGCUCAGCUCCUCUCUCACUAGGGCCAGCAGGGCAGCCUGCUGCUCCCCAGCCUGCCCAGGCCACUGCCCUGGACGAGAGGGGCUGGCUGUGUGGCCCUGUGGUCAGCAGCACAGGCCAAGCUCCACUGCUAGCUAGAUAGGCAGUUUUGGGCUAGUGACAUUGUCUCUCUGAGCUUCAGUUGCCUCAUCAGCAAGUUGCAGGGACUAGUGGUCCCCACCCCUGAGGCUGCUGAGAGAACUGAGGCUACACACGCAUGGGAAGUGCUUGGCACAGUGCCCGGCGCAGAGGAGAUAAUCAGGACCCUGCAGCUCUAAUCUUGCCGGUUUGAGAAUUAGGAAUGAUCUUCUAUGUCAACUCCCCACAGCCUCGGGAUCAGGUCCAGACACCUUCUGGCAGAUGAAGGCCUUGUGGCUGCUGCCUCUCCAUACUCACCCCUGCCGGGAGCAUCUUGUGCCGCGACAGCCAUGCUCCUUGUGAUCCUCUGAAUGGCCUUGGCUGAGGCUGUUCCAUCUGCCCAGAGUGACCUGUCGUCCCAACAAACCUUGUCCAGGGCCCAGCUCUGUGGCUGCUCCCGAUCACUUUUUCCCCAAUCUCCACCCCGGCCAGGGCCCCAAGACUGCUAGACACUCACCACUGACACAGCGUGGGUCUGCUGCUCUUGUUUUGGGGUCCUGGUGUGGCUCCCCCACCAGCUUGGAGCCCUCGAGGGCAGGGCCCGCACCUGACUCAGUUCUGAGCCCCCAGCACCCAGCCCAGGCCUGGCGAAGGCGCCACAGUUUUGGCUUAUUGGAAGGCCUAGUGCGAGGGGCCAAGAGUUGACACUGAGUGAGGGGAGCACUGGUGGGCCUGGGCCUCGGGGUCUACGGGACUGGCAAUGAGGGGCAAGGCGACCUGCAGAGUGCCUAGGAGGACACGUGACUCCCGCAUCAGGGCAGGCGAGUGCUCUCCGUGGCAGGAGUCGAUGGCCACACAGGAACAGCUUCCUGCACUCACAGGCUACAGCCCCGCAUGUGACCAAGGCGUGCUUGCCAUGAAAGCAGAACAAGAGUUGACAUUUGCCAAAGAUUCCUUCCAGAAGGCUGUGCAAUGUGGAAGCGUUCCCGGGGCUACUGUGGGCUGAUGGGCUGGGCUGUGUCCACAGGAGUGAUAGCCCUGCUGGGCAGCGGUGAGGAUGGCCUACAGUGGUAUUAGGUGGGUGCCUAAGGCCCAGAGAGGUUAAUGACUUGCCCAGGGUCACACAGCUUGUGAGGGGCAGAGCUGGGACCUGAACCCGGGCUUGUCUGACACUGAGGCCGUGGACAUCUCUGCCAUGGGACUCUACGGUGCUGUGUGGUACAGGGUGUUACAAAGGCCUGUGGGAGUCAGACAAGCUGCGCUGAAGGGGCGCCCAGUGAGUGAGGUCUUGAAGGAUGUGUAGGAGUUUUCUAGGUGGAGAUAGGGGAGGGUGUUCCCAGUAAUGUGAAGAACACACUGGGGCUUUCUGGAAAGACUCCUUUGGAGUGGAGACCAUAAAACUGAAAGCGGUAAGAGUCCUGUUGGUAAGAGGCCCUGAGGCCCAGCUAAGACAUCAAAAUUUUACCCUCUAAGAAACUGUAAGUAGAAUGUUUUUUUUAAAAAGUCAUUGAUUUUGAAAUAUUUCAUUUUCUGCAAGAGAAUCUAGUAUAUAUACGUAUAUAUGUGUGUAUAUAUAUAUACAUAUAUGUGUGUAUAUAUACACAUACAUAUGUAUACACAUAUAUGUAUAUAUAUGAGGUAUAAAAAGUAAUGAAGCAAACACCACAUUUUCACCACUGGCAUGAGAAAUAGAGCCGCGUCAAUGCCAUAGCGACCCUCAGCAUGCCCCAGUGGCACACCUCCCCUCCUGGGUCCACCAGCCUGAAUUUGGUGCUUGUCAUUCCCAAACGGAGGUGUAUCCCCAGGGAGUGACCAAAGCUGCUUUGCCCUCCAGGGACACCGCUCUGGGGAAUGCAAAGACUGCCACACAGGGGCAGCCAUCGGGAGGCCUCUGCCAAAGUCGGGUGAGGCUGCCCCCACCCCAGAAUGGACAACCUCUUUAACAUAUCAGCCUGCAGCAGCAAAAAGGAGUGAGGAGGGGCAUGGCUGCUGCCACCCUUAUCCCAGAAGGGCCACCAUGGGCCAGGAAGUCCAGACUGUGGCCCACAGGCAAGGGUUUGGCUCUGCGUUGUAAAAGUUUUCCAGGGAACUGAGCAGCUUAAAAGGGAAUGGCCUGUAAAGGAGUGAGCUUACCAUUCCUGGGGGAAACCAAGCAGAGGCCUCGACCAUCACCUGGACCUCCUCUCCAAGCCUCCUCUGACUUUGUCCCUCUUCCCUCAGCCCCUGGGCUCCCUCUGUUCCAACCUUUUCCAGCCUAAUGGCACCGUCCGUGCCUGCAGACAGGGUCUCCAAGGCCAGAGACUGAAUAGUCACCAGGUCCUGGGCUGAGAAUGAGUCCAUGUCACAUUCUUCCCUUCCUGUGCAGCAUGGAGGUUGGAGAUGGGCUCUUGGGUCAGGCCGUAACUGAACCCAUGUCCAGCCUCUUGCAGAAUCCAAUGAACAGAGAGAGGUCUGGUAGAAAGAAAGGGACUUUAUCCCAGAGCUUGGUUAAGGGGGAACAUACAGGCUCCUGACUUAAGGGAAUUGCUUCAGCUUUUGGGGAGGAAAGUGGAGUCUUUAAAAGGGAACUUGGUGUGAAAAGCAUGCAGGGGAGGGGGUGAGGAGGUGCGGGGUCCACCUGACUUGCUUCUGUGUCUUCUCAAUUGGGUAGUCUGGAGGGCGCCAUGGUGGACAGAGCUAAGCUGUAAGCUGUUGUCUCGAGCCAAUCUCCUGGUGGGGGAGAAUCCCGGAGGGUGCCUGGUUUGGUUCAACAUUUUGUCCUGAGAAUUUCUAAGCAAAUCGAACUAUAGUUAGAUACGCUUGCAGUGCAGGGAGUGCCUGGUGGAGAGGAGGUAAAUGUUACAAUUGCAUUCCUGAAGAGCUAAGAGGUGAACACACAGGGAAAAAGAAAAAAGGUAAAGAUAAGUUCUAGGAAAAUUGGACACUUGGUUGCAAGCCCUCCUAAGCUGAAAUUCUGACAUUGUGGUCCAGCCACCACAAAGAUCAGAAGAACCUUGGGUCAUCUGCUCUAUUUUGGUACAUAUAUUUCUAUUAAUGCAACCCAAAGUCCUCUUCCUUCUCAGCUUCCCUUGGCAUGUGAGAAUAUCUGCCUGUCCCCACACACAGCCAUGCCAUGCACAAGCCCAGGGGCAGGAAGCACUUCUCAGAACCCAUUUGUGCAACCGAGGGCUCCACCCAGGAAGCAGCCCCCAUCCUGCUCUUUCCCAGCUCCCUUGGGCCUCUGGCUGUUUCUUUUUUUUUUUCCAAUAAUUUUUUUUUUUUUGAGACAGAGUCUUGCUCUGUUGCCCAGGCUGGAGUGCAGUGGCGCAAUAUUGGCUCAACUGCAACCUUCACCUCCCGGGUUCAAGUGAUUUUCCUGCCUCAGCCUCCUGAGUAGCUGGGAUUACAGGUGUGCACCAUUGCCUCUGGCUAAUUUUUGUAUUUUUAGUAGAGAUGGGGUUUCACCAUGUUUGAGCUGGUCUCGAACUCCUGACCUCGUGAUCCACCCACCUCAGCCUCCCAAAGUGCUGGGAUUACAGGCGUGAGCCACUGCCCCUGGCCUGCUUCUGGCCAUUUCUACCAUGUGGCCACCCUGUUGUAAGUUUCCACCUAAGAACAUAGGAGGGCAGGUGAGGACGCGCUUCCCUUUUUCACUUGCCUUGUGUGAUGUUCUCAGCUUUUCAGCCUCAUGGUCGAGUCAGCCAGGCUUCAUUCUGGUUUCCAACCCUUAGGUCUAGAAUGUUGAGCUGGUCACACCUCCUGGUCCCUAGCUCCAACAUCAGUGGCUGUGAUGGGUCCCUUACUGUACCUGCCCAUUCUCCCACCCUCCAAGCCUACUCCGUCCACCCCACUCUUUCAUCUUAAUUGAGUGUGAUGCCCAAAUUAUGCACAAUGCUGGGAACAUGGAAGUGUUUUCACUUGUCAUGUAUAGUAUUUCUCACCUUUGACCCAACGUUUUAUGUGCAAGACCUAUGCAUUCUGCCAUAGGCGCUCUUGCACCCUCACUUCUGAGAACUGUAUGGAAGACUGUAUAGGCACCAUGGAAUACUAUGCAGCCAUAAAAAAGAACAAGAUCAUGUCCUUUGCAGGGACAUGCAUGGAGCUGGAAGCCAUUAUUCUUAGCAAACUAACACAGGAACAGAAAACCCAAUACCACAUGCUCUCACUUAUAAGCGGGAGCUAAAUGAUGAGAACACAUGGAUACAUAGAGGGGAAGGACACACACUGGGGCCCACUGAAGGGCGGAAGGUGGGAGGAGGGGGAGGACCAGGAAAAAAUAACUAAUGGGUACUAGGUUUCAUGUCUGGGUGAUGAAAUAAUCUGUACAACAAACCCCCAUGACACACAUUUAGCUGUGUCACAAACCUGCACGUCCUGCACGUGUACCCCUGAACUUAAAAGAUUUGUGUUCGUUUUUGAGACAGAGUCUCGCUCUGCCAUCCAGGCUGGAGUGCAGUGGCGCGAUCUCAGCUCACUGCAACCUCCACCCCCUGGAUUCGAGUGAUUUUCCUGCCUCAGCCUCCCAAGUAGCUGGGACUACAGGUGCCUAUCACCAUGCCUGGCUAAGUUUUGUAUUUAUUUAGAGACGGAGUUUCAUUCUUAUUGCCCAGGCUGGAGUGCAAUGGCACGAUCUCAGCUCACCGCAACCUCCGCCUCCUGGGUUCAAGCAGUUCUUCUGCCUCAGCCUCCUGAGUAGCUGGGAUUACAGGUGCACGCCACCAUGCCCAGCUUAUUUUUGUGUUUUUAGUAGAGAUGGGGUUUCAACAUGUUGGUCAGGCUGGUUUUGAACUCCUGACCUGGUGAUCCGCCUGCCUCGGCCUCCCAAAAUGCUGGGAUUAUAGGCGUGAGCCACCGUGCCCGGCCUUAAACGUUUCUUAAAAAGAAGCAGCUCAUGCUAAUGCAGUUCCCUAGGAAGGUGACGGGUUGCCCCUGAAGACCAGCUCCCGGGCUUCUUUGGGAAGUACACAGAGAGAGGUUGCCGGAUCGUCCACAGAGCAUGGUGGUGAGUCCCCUUCGCGGGUGUUCACUUACCUUUCAAAUCAUCUGAUCUCCUAAGUUUGGCCGAUUUGAUGGAUUUAAAGUGACAUCUCACUGUCUUACGAAUUUUGUUAUCUAGGUAAUGAAUAGAUUUUUUUUAAAGCAGUUUUAGGUUUACAGAAAAAUUGAGCGGAAAGUACAGAAAUUGCCCAGGGGAGGAAGGGUGGGAAUUCAAGACUAAGGUUCAGGGCAGAGGGCUCAGCGUGUAAGUGGCAUUAAUGCCACAAAUCAUGAAUCUCAAUGACUAACACCCAGGAAAGGAAAGCAGAGCAUGGGAGGUGGCUGAGGACAGCUGCCCAAGCCUGCCUGGUCUCUGCAUGGCUCUCCAUUGUGCAGGAGCUGUUGUUUUUGACCUGGCAUCCUGCUGAUGGAGACUUCACUGAUCCUAAUCUUCUGCUGUGACCCACCUUUGUGUGAUGAAUGUGCUUGUACCUAUGUUGCCCUUGUGAGCAUGUCUGUAGGAUAAUCGUUACGUGAGACUGCUGGGUCAGAGGAUGUGGGCAUCUGUACCGUAGGCAUGUGUCAAAUUGCCUUCCAAAGAAAUGACCCCAGCAUCCCCCCCACCAGCAGUGAAGCAGAAACCCAAACCAGCAAAUGCAUUGGGUGCUCAGCCCUUUUGAUCAGUGUCAGGGUGGCAAGUGAAGGAAUGCGGAUGCUCCCUUUUGUCUGCGCUCUGAAAUCCUCUCUCAUUAUGGCUUUAAUUUGCAUUUCUCUUAUUUUAGAGUUUGGAUUUGCUGUUUGACAGUUUCUCUCUUUCUUCUUGGCAACUGGUCUGUUUAGAUUCUCCCUUCCCGGAUCCUUUGGGUAAUUUCUCUUUUCUUGGAAAUUGAUCCAUUUCUUGGAGGCUUCCUGGUUUCUGUAGAGUUGAGCAGGCAGUCGCUUUUGUUCUUCUGUUUGUUCAGUUCAUCUUAAUUGAGUGCUGACCCUGUGCUGGGCAUCGUUAUUGGCCCUGGGGAUAUAGUCAUGGGCCAAAAGCAGCAAAAAGCCUGCUUUUAUGGAGACUGCAGACAGUUUUUAAAAUGUUUAUGUGAAAUAUAUGGACUUUUAGACAGCGAUAAUGCAUUUGAGGUAAAGGAUAAUUUUAAACAUGUGGCCAAGGGCUCACUAAAAAGGUGACUUAAAGGAGAUCAGGGAUUCAGCCUUGGGUUUAUCUGGGAGAAGAGACAGGAGCAUGCUGGUACAGAUGGUGUAUUAGUCAGUGUGCUCCAGAGGAACAGAACCAAUCGCAUAUAGACACAUAUGAAGACACACACUGUAGGUAAUUGGCUCCUGCAGCUAUGCAGGUUGAGGAAUCCAAAGGUCUGCAGUUAGCAAGCUGGGGACCCAAAAGAGCCGAUGAUGUGAGUUCCAGUGUCAGUCGAGGGCCUGAGACCCAGGAGAGCCAAUGGUGAGAGUUCCAGUUUGAUUUGAAGGUCUGAGACCCAGGAGAGCUGAUGGUGUGAGUUCCUGUUUGAUUUGAGGGUCUGAGACCCAGAAGAGCUGAUGGUGUGAGUUCCAGUGUGAGUCGAUGGCCUGAGACCCAAGAGAGCUGAUGGUGUGAGUUCCAGUGUGGUCGAGGGCCUGAGUCCCAGGAGAACCCAUGGUGUGAGUUCCAGUGUGAGUCGAGGACCUGAGACCCAGGAGAGCUGAUGGCAUGAGUUCCACUAUGAGUCAAGGGCCUGAGAGCCAGGAGAGCCAAUGGUGUGAAUUUCAGUCCCACCCUGAGUCUAAAGGGAGGAGAAGAACGAUGUCCCCACUUAAAGGCAGGCAGAGAGUGUGAAUUCCCCCUUACUUGUUGGUUCUGUUUAGGUCUCCAGCAGGUUGGAUGAGGCCACCUGCACAGGGGAGGACACUGUUUUCCUCCAUCUGCCAGGUCACAUGUUCCUCUCAUCAUGAAACACCUUCACAACACACCCAGAAAAAUAUCCCACCAAAUAUCAGGGCACCCUGUGGCCCAGUCAAAUUGACACUAAACAAACCAUUACCGUUGGAGUGGAGAGAAUGAAAAGGAAAAGAGUGAGGAAUAGGACAGGGAGGUGAUGGGGUGGGAAGGGCUUUAGCUUCUACUCUUAGUGAAUCUGGGAGCCACUGAGGGUUUUGAGGAAAGGGGUGGCAUAAUUGGACUUAGGUUUUCACAGGGCUUCUCUGGCUGCUGUGUUGAGAGCAGAUGGAAGGGGCUGACCAGCACAGACACCCACUGCAAGAAUCCUGCUAGUGUGGACCACAGUAGGAGUGGUGGAGGCAGCAGGAAGUGUAAGGCUUGUUGAGAUUCCAAAGGAAGGGCCAAUGGGAUUUGCUCCUGGGUUGGAUGUGGAGUGUGAGAGGAAAAGAGGGGUCAAAGAUGACUCCAGGCCUCUGAGGAGAGCAACUGACAGGAUGGAGUUGUAUUUCCUGAGGUCAGAAAAAUUGUGGGAAAAGCUAGAUGGGGGAGGAAGGUUGGGAUUUUCGUUUGGGAUAUAUUAAGUUUGAGGUGUCUAUUAAAUAUCAAUUUGGUGACAUCGAGUAGACACGUUGGCCAUCAGAAUGGAGUUUAGAUGAGAGUUUGAGGCUCAAAAGUCAUCAGCGUAUCUCCAGCCUGGGUGACAGAGUGAAAUUCCAGCUCCAUCUCAAAAAAAAAAAAAUCAACAUAUGCUGUUUAAAUCCUUGGGAAGAGAUGAGGUCCAUGAGUGAGUAGAAAGAGUGAAGAGGAGGUCAGGAAGAUGUGGACGGACCAACAAGGGGCUGGAGCAGGAGCAGUGGGAGGAGGAGGAGGACCAGGAGAGGGGAGUGCAGUGUCCUGGAAGCAGGUGGAGUGAUCACUUGAGUCAAUGCUGCUGUGAGGAUGAGUGAAAGGGGGACUGAGAAUUGACUACUGGGUUUAUUAACAUGGAGGUCUUUGGUGACCUUGACAAGGGCAAAUUCUGCAGAGAAGUUGGAAGAAAAGCCUGUUGGGAGGGGCUAAGGGAUGGUGAGAAGUGAAACUGGAGAGCAAAAGUGCAGAGAAUCCUUCCAAGCAGUCACCUCCACCUUCUAUGUAUUAUAUCUCCUGCUUCAUUAGAUUCCCCAGCAGGAACAUGUCUCACUAUUUUUCAAAGAACGAGUAGUUGGGGCCAGGGAUGGUGGCUCUUGCCUGUAAUUCCAGCAUUUUGGGAGGCCAAGGCAGGGGGAUUGCUUGAGGCCAGGAGAUCAAGAUCAGCCUGGGCAAAACAGCAAGACCCCAUCCCUACAAAGAAUUUUUAUUUAAUUAGCUGGGUGUAGUGGUGCACACCUGUAGUCUUAGCUACACAGGAGGCAGGGGCAGGGGAAUCACUUGAGCCCAGGAGUUUGAGGUUGCAGGGAACUAUGAUUGCACCAUUGCACUCCAGCUAGGGUGACAGAGCAAGAGCCUGUCUCUAAAAAAAUAAAAUAAUUUAAAAAUUAAAAAAAGAACAUGGAGUUAUUUAUGAGUUCCUUUCUUCUGCUGUUAACUCCAUUUCUGUUUUCAUCUAUUUAUUGCUAUUGUAUGUCUUUCUUAGGUUUGUCUUUCUUUUCUUUUUGAGUUGGGCAAUUCAUGCUUUCUAAUUUAUUAAUAAGAUCAGUGUUUUAAGGCUAUAUAUGUUCCUCUUAGCAUUGGCUCGUCUGCAUCCCACAGGUCCUUAAAUAUAUAUUUUGUUAUAGUCUAGAUAUUCUGCAGUUUUUAUUUUUUGCUGUCUGUAACUCAAGUUUAUUUAAGUGUUUAUAGACUUCUUGGUGGCAAA